rnacentral:rRNA from 1 species
GACGAACGCUGGCGGCGUGCUUAACACAUGCAAGUCGAACGAAGUGGCGAACGGGUGAGUAACGCGUAAUCAACUUCCUCUUCAGGGGGGAACAACAGUUGGAAACGACUGCUAAUACCGCAUACGGAAGGAGGGGUUUGCGUCUGAUUAGCUAGUUGGUGGGGUAACGGCCCACCAAGGCGAUGAUCAGAAGCCGGUCUGAGGGGGUGAACGGGCACAUUGGGACUUAGACACGGCCCAGACUCCUACGGGGGGCAGCAGUGGGGAAUCUUCCGCAAUGGACGGAAGUCUGACGGAGCAACGCCGCGUGAGUGAUGACGGCCUUCGGGGUGUAAAGCUCUGUUAAUCGGGACGCGGUACCGGAAUAGAAAGCAACGGCUAACUACGUGCCAGCAGCCGCGGUAAUAC